AUUUAAUGAUGGACUUUUCCUGAUUGGGGGGAAAAAAAUCUGUAGACUAGGAACAGAAAGUGGGAAAGAAAAAGAAGGUUUUUACUCCCCCAUUCCACCAUUUCAUUGUUAAGACACAUUCCCCAUAGCGAUCAUGAGACUUAAGGGAAAUGAAAGUAGCUUCUUAUCGUAAAGAGACUGAGAAUUCCUAUUCUGGAUUCUCAAAACAGCCAUGAAAGAUAUGCUGGACAGAAUUUACUCUCCCACUUGCCAGAGAUAGCAAGUCUCAGGAAAGUUAAGAGACUUGUCCAUGGUAUCUUAACUAAUGUGGUUUGGGAGUAGGUGCCACUGAGAGGAUAUUUAUUAGAGAAAAGAACCCACACAUCUUAGAAUAGGGUCAUUUCUGGUCACGGAGAAAUUAUUCCAUUUGAAUCCAGGUUUCCAGGGAAGAGUGAAUGUGUAGCACAUGUGUGGAUGGGACAGGCCCACACAAGGAAAUGAGUGCCGUAUGAUGCUUCCCAGAGAUGCUCUCUGGCCUGAACUGGUAAGAAGUUGGUCUGGGUUGAAGGCACUAGACAGAUCAUGAGAUUAAAUUCUCCACAUGUCAACUCAUCGUGGUCGUGAUAGCCUCUUAGUCUGGAAAUGCCUCUGGCUGUAGGGAUGACCUCAGUUGGAGACUCGCAAGAAGGACCAAGGCACCUUCUGCAAGGUGCUACCAGCCAGUUCCCAGAGGGGUCCCAGCAGUGCUCAGUGGGCUUCAUGCAGUUGGUGCCAGCAUUGCCUGCCUUUCCCCAAGGGCAAGUCUGUGUAGAGCAUUUGCCUUGGCACCUUUGCUCCAUUGGACCUCCAUCCCCUCUGAGAUGUCUUCAGAGGACACGUGGGCCCACUCGACAUCACUCCACUGAACUCUCUCUAAUCUCCUUGCACUGAGUCAGGAGCUUCGCACAAGGAAGGGAAAUUAAGAUCGUGUAUACACACGGAUCCUAACUCUGAAGGAAGCAAUCAUUUAGGACCACCCUGCUGGAUGCAACAGCGCGAAAUAGUGGGUGAGGGGACAACCAGGCCACCUGAAGAAUGUCUUGAAUGAUGGAAUUCUUGGUGACGGGACGGACCAGCAUGCUCCAGAAUAACAACAGGUACUAUCUUGGAAGCCACUUGACUUUGAAACAGAGGCAGAUUCGGAUUUGAGGUCACUGAUUCGGAGAUAUUUACAGCAGUUUUUUGUGUGUUUCGACCCUGAUCCCCCAAGAUUGAGGCUGUUGACAUGUGGCACUGUGGACAGGUGAAACUGAGUCUCAGAGAUUCACAAGUCAGAGUGGCCCCUGCCUGUUCUAGUCUGGUGCCCAGGACUUGGAGUGUUGCCUGAGAGACAUGUCCCAAGGCCCCCCUAGAGCCACAGAGUAUAACAAGGCAGUGGAAUAGUACUUCCAGUUUGGUAACCUCAAUGGCAAGAGGCAGGAGAUCCAACUAAAGAGAAGAGGGUCUAACGGCAAGUUGCUGACCCAGCUUCUAGCACAGCUGCCCUCUUCCACAGAAUGGGAACAAGUAACCUUUUGUGCCUCUUGUACUAUCAGUCUUCACUACUGGAAACAAGUUAGACCUUUCUAUCUGGGAAAAGCCUGGCUACUGUUCCAUAGAGGCUGCUGUGGAAGGAGCCAUCCCACGUGCCAGGAUGAUCCGAGACAUGAAACCCUGCCUAGGAAACAAGAGCAACAUGGGGAGUGGGCCACAGCGCUGUCUCAGCCACGUGGCCUUGGACAUGUCCUUCUGGGACCUCUCUUUCUCCAUCUAUCAAACAAGGGGCCUCUAAAGACUUUCCCUUUUCAACGAUCUUGCCUUUACCUGGAGUAAACGCUGCGGCCAUGGGAGAGGGGGCAUGGUCCUUGUUCUUCUGGGUCUUCCACCAGGCCCAAGGCUUCCCCCAGCCCUGCUAUUCUGGAGGGCUCCCCUUAGCCCUUUAAAGAAUCUUCCCUUCCCUCUUAAGGAUUGAUCAUGCUCAGAAAUCCAGCUGAUUUGGGGGACCAACAUGAAAAAAAAAAAAAAAGAACCUCACAAAGAAACUCUUUGAGAAGCCUUCCACGUU